AUGCAGUCGAGCGGACCGACGGGAGCUUGCUCCCUUAGGUCAGCGGCGGACGGGUGAGUAACACGUGGGUAACCUGCCUGUAAGACUGGGAUAACUCCGGGAAACCGGGGCUAAUACCGGAUGCUUGAUUGAACCGCAUGGUUCAAUCAUNAAAGGCGGCUUCGGCUGCCGUUUACAGAUGGACCCGCGGCGCAUUAGCUAGUUGGUGAGGUAACGGCUCACCAAGGCGACGAUGCGUAGCCGACCUGAGAGGGUGAUCGGCCACACUGGGACUGAGACACGGCCCAGACUCCUACGGGAGGCAGCAGUAGGGAAUCUUCCGCAAUGGACGAAAGUCUGACGGAGCAACGCCGCGUGAGUGAUGAAGGUUUUCGGAUCGUAAAGCUCUGUUGUUAGGGAAGAACAAGUACCGUUCGAAUAGGGCGGUACCUUGACGGUACCUAACCAGAAAGCCACGGCUAACUACGUGCCAGCAGCCGCGGUAAUACGUAGGUGGCAAGCGUUGUCCGGAAUUAUUGGGCGUAAAGCGCGCGCAGGCGGUUUCUUAAGUCUGAUGUGAAAGCCCCCGGCUCAACCGGGGAGGGUCAUUGGAAACUGGGGAACUUGAGUGCAGAAGAGGAGAGUGGAAUUCCACGUGUAGCGGUGAAAUGCGUAGAGAUGUGGAGGAACACCAGUGGCGAAGGCGACUCUCUGGUCUGUAACUGACGCUGAGGCGCGAAAGCGUGGGGAGCGAACAGGAUUAGAUACCCUGGUAGUCCACGCCGUAAACGAUGAGUGCUAAGUGUUAGAGGGUUUCCGCCCUUUAGUGCUGCAGCAAACGCAUUAAGCACUCCGCCUGGGGAGUACGGUCGCAAGACUGAAACUCAAAGGAAUUGACGGGGGCCCGCACAAGCGGUGGAGCAUGUGGUUUAAUUCGAAGCAACGCGAGAACCUUACCAGGUCUUGACAUCCUCUGACAUNCCUAGAGAUAGGCUUCCCCUCGGGGCAGAGUGACAGUGGUGCAUGCGUCGUCAGCUCGUG
rnacentral:rRNA from 1 species